rnacentral:rRNA from 1 species
GACGAACCGUGCGAACGUUGUUCGGAAUCACUGGGCUUAAAGGGCGCGUAGGCGGGCCACCAAGUCAGGGGUGAAAUCCCACGGCUCAACCGUGGAAGUGCCUCUGAUACUGGGGGCCUCGAGGGAGGUAGGGGCGUGCGGAACUUCCGGUGGAGCGGUGAAAUGCGUAGAUAUCGGAAGGAACACCGGUGGCGAAAGCGGCGCGCUGGACCUCUUCUGACGCUGAGGCGCGAAAGCCAGGGGAGCAAACGGG